rnacentral:lncRNA from 1 species
GCAGCCUCCAAGCCCCCAGGAAUCCCCACACUGAGUGUUCUCAGCUGUGAACAGCAAGAACCGACUCCAUGGUUGGAUUUCAAGGAGGUUGGGGAGCUCGGAUACCACUCCUAAGACCCCAGCUUGCAGCAAGACUGCAUGGCCUGAGUCCCACUAUGGGGGCUGCUGGCCCAGACACCUCUGGGAGCUGGGCAUGGUGGCUCCUGUCCUGGCCAAUGGACCCUCUGGCAGAGCAUCACAGUGGGAGCAUGUGCAGAGCAGAGCCACUCACACAUGAGCCAGGAAGCUGAGGCCUCGGGCAUCAUGGUGCGUGCUGGUAAUCUCAGCACUCUGGGAGGCUGAGGCAGGAGGAUCACAAGUUCAAGCCCAGCCAGG